CGUUGACAACGUUUUGGUUAUUUUUUGUUUAUUUUUCUUACAGUGAUGUUAAUCACAAUAAGUGUUUUGACAACUCAUUUUGAUGGUCAGCUGCCGCAAAUGGAGUAUUUUUUGAUUGUGCUAUGAUUGCUGCUAUGGAAUAUUGGUAAAUUGUAGAUCUUUCUAGUCAAAGGAAAGGAUCACAAUACUGCAAGAGUUUAAGGAAGGGCACCUUAUAAGGCCAAUAUGCUCCUGCCUUAAUUUGAAAGUUAAUGAGAUUUAUUGGUCCAAUAAAUGCACCAAUCCUAUAACUCUUGAUGGCAGCACAUAGACGAACAUAGACGUAUUUAUGUAUCCCACAUUCAAUAUAAAAAAUUUACUGUUGCAAAAGUGGAAACUGGAAAUAGUAAACAACUUCUUAUCAUAUUUUGCUGGGACGCCCACACAAUAUCAUAAAUAUUGGUUAUGACGUAAAUGUCGGACACAUUUUCAUAGCUGAGAAAUGAACGACACAGAAUUCCAAUAAGAACCAUAUGGCGUUUUCAUUCAUUCAUGCGAACCUUUGACGACAUAGCUGCAGUUUUCUUUCUUUGCAAAAAGGAAUGAAAUGGGGGAUAUUGCUACACAUUCCCCAUUAGGUAGGGAGUAGUAAAUUGCCUCCCGUUGGCCAUUGACGCAUUUCGCUACUCAUCUGUCCCCGUAAACCCGGUAUCCACAAAUAACAGUCCCAGUUGUUUAGCCAGCAACAUUUUGUUAGAAUUUUUAUAUCUUUGUAUGUGUAUAAAUGUUGUGACGUAGUCUAAGUCAAAAUGAAAUGAAAGCACGUACACAAGAUACUCCUAGGCCCCCACCGUUCCCUUCCAAAUGUUGCCAUUAAAAGUCGCCUAACACCCAUUGCCAUUAUCAACACCAAGAGUCAAGCAACCAAUCUACUACUCCCCCUACUGUUAUAUAUUCAACAACCACCGUGGGGAAUCUGUGAGAAAUUGAGAGGGAGAUUUUGAGAGCUCUCCGAGAAAGCAAAUAUUAACUACAUUAUUGAGCAAAUGUCAGCCGUAAAACAACAAGAGAUAGAGAGAGAGGGAGUUAAUAUUGACAUAGAGAGCGUGUUAUGUUGGGGUUUGUUUUUGAGACUGGAAUGCCACCUACGCUAGGCAUUUUCUUGUGAUACAUGUAUAUUUCGUAAUGAAAUUAGCUAAAAGGAAAAUAAAUAUGAUUAGAAAUAUUUUAA